AAAAUGAAUAAUUUCAUUUGCGUACAUGCUUGCACAUUCCUUUGCAUCUAACUGCACCCUUUGCGGUUAAAAUAUUUUAUAACUCUAUGGAUUCAUCGAGUUGUAUGUCCGCAGUCGAUAUGUCGGAAGGGGCUCCUGAUAGUUUGCCCGAUAACGAUGAUAAUAGUCUUGGUGAGAGUCUAGUUCAAGAGCACAUUAUUCCUAGAGGCCUUACUGUUGAAGACUUAAGGCAGCACCAGCCGUCAAACGAUGUGCUAGUUAAACCAUAGAUAUUAAAGACUACAUAUACAGUCUCUAAUAUCUAUGGUUAAACUUAGUAAGGAUCUUCAUAACUGGGUGGAAGUUGGCUUCAACCUAAAUGUAACAAAAUCUGAAAUUAAAGCCAUUAAAAUUGACAACAAUACUGAAGAGGAACGAAGAAUUUUUGCAUUGGCCAAGUGGAAGGAAAAAAAUGGAGAUGGUGCUACUUAUUACAAUCUUAUUGAGGCUCUCAAUGACAGUGAUAGAGUUGAUUUAAUUGACCAAGCUUUAGAUUUUUUAAAAGAAGUUAUAGAGCUAGCUGCAAAGCAGAAAGCUGACGCCGGAGGGUGUUGAUUCUGACACACUUCAUGAAGAAGACAUUCAGUUUCUUUGUGGGUGUGGAGCUUGUACACUAGAUGAUUUCCUUAAGAAUGGUUGUCCAACAGGAGCACAAAAGCAAUUUCCUCUACUCCAAGUUACCAAGUUAACUACACAUACACUUGUAGCCAGAUUGAUUAAAGAAUCGAGGAAAGUCGGUGAAAAGUUUGCUGGUCUUCUUCGUGAGAUUUUAGCAGGUUUAAAUUAAAGGAUCAGGAGAAUGUCGAUGUUGAUGAGUUAGUUAUGUAUAAUCUUCGUUACAAAAAUUUUCAUUUCUGAAUGAUUCCGAUUAUAUUCAAGUUCAGAGCCAAUUGAA